rnacentral:sRNA from 1 species
AUAAACCGCGAAUCGCGCAUACCCUGCGCGUCGCCGCCUGCGAGUUCCCCG